rnacentral:rRNA from 1 species
GGUUAAGCGACUAAGCGUACACGGUGGAUGCCCUGGCAGUCAGAGGCGAUGAAGGACGUGCUAAUCUGCGAUAAGCGUCGGUAAGGUGAUAUGAACCGUUAUAACCGGCGAUUUCCGAAUGGGGAAACCCAGUGUGAUUCGUCACACUAUCAUUAACUGAAUCCAUAGGUUAAUGAGGCGAACCGGGGGAACUGAAACAUCUAAGUACCCCGAGGAAAAGAAAUCAACCGAGAUUCCCCCAGUAGCGGCGAGCGAACGGGGAGCAGCCCAGAGCCUGAAUCAGUGUGUGUGUUAGUGGAAGCGUCUGGAAAGGCGCGCGAUACAGGGUGACAGCCCCGUACACAAAAAUGCACAUACUGUGAGCUCGAUGAGUAGGGCGGGACACGUGGUAUCCUGUCUGAAUAUGGGGGGACCAUCCUCCAAGGCUAAAUACUCCUGACUGACCGAUAGUGAACCAGUACCGUGAGGGAAAGGCGAAAAGAACCCCGGCGAGGGGAGUGAAAAAGAACCUGAAACCGUGUACGUACAAGCAGUGGGAGCACAGAGCAAUCUGUGUGACUGCGUACCUUUUGUAUAAUGGGUCAGCGACUUAUAUUCUGUAGCAAGGUUAACCGAAUAGGGGAGCCGAAGGGAAACCGAGUCUUAACUGGGCGUUAAGUUGCAGGGUAUAGACCCGAAACCCGGUGAUCUAGCCAUGGGCAGGUUGAAGGUUGGGUAACACUAACUGGAGGACCGAACCGACUAAUGUUGAAAAAUUAGCGGAUGACUUGUGGCUGGGGGUGAAAGGCCAAUCAAACCGGGAGAUAGCUGGUUCUCCCCGAAAGCUAUUUAGGUAGCGCCUCGUGAAUUCAUCUCCGGGGGUAGAGCACUGUUUCGGCAAGGGGGUCAUCCCGACUUACCAACCCGAUGCAAACUGCGAAUACCGGAGAAUGUUAUCACGGGAGACACACGGCGGGUGCUAACGUCCGUCGUGAAGAGGGAAACAACCCAGACCGCCAGCUAAGGUCCCAAAGUCAUGGUUAAGUGGGAAACGAUGUGGGAAGGCCCAGACAGCCAGGAUGUUGGCUUAGAAGCAGCCAUCAUUUAAAGAAAGCGUAAUAGCUCACUGGUCGAGUCGGCCUGCGCGGAAGAUGUAACGGGGCUAAACCAUGCACCGAAGCUGCGGCAGCGACGCUGAUGCGUUGUUGGGUAGGGGAGCGUUCUGUAAGCCUGUGAAGGUGUGCUGUGAGGCAUGCUGGAGGUAUCAGAAGUGCGAAUGCUGACAUAAGUAACGAUAAAGCGGGUGAAAAGCCCGCUCGCCGGAAGACCAAGGGUUCCUGUCCAACGUUAAUCGGGGCAGGGUGAGUCGACCCCUAAGGCGAGGCCGAAAGGCGUAGUCGAUGGGAAACAGGUUAAUAUUCCUGUACUUGGUGUUACUGCGAAGGGGGGACGGAGAAGGCUAUGUUGGCCGGGCG